GAUGAACGCUGGCGGCGUGCCUAAUACAUGCAAGUCGAGCGGACAGACGAGGAGCUUGCUCCUCUGACGUUAGCGGCGGACGGGUGAGUAACACGUGGAUAACCUACCUAUAAGACUGGGAUAACUUCGGGAAACCGGAGCUAAUACCGGAUAAUAUAUUGAACCGCAUGGUUCAAUAGUGAAGGACGGUUUUGCCGUCACUUAUAGAUGGAUCCGCGCCGCAUUAGCUAGUUGGUAAGGUAACGGCUUACCAAGGCAACGAUGCGUAGCCGACCUGAGAGGGUGAUCGGCCACACUGGAACUGAGACACGGUCCAGACUCCUACGGGAGGCAGCAGUAGGGAAUCUUCCGCAAUGGGCGAAAGCCUGACGGAGCAACGCCGCGUGAGUGAUGAAGGUCUUCGGAUCGUAAAACUCUGUUAUUAGGGAAGAACAAAUGUGUAAGUAACUAUGCACGUCUUGACGGUACCUAAUCAGAAAGCCACGGCUAACUACGUG
rnacentral:rRNA from 1 species